UUUGUUUAUAUUUGUUAUGAGAAGGGUAUAAAUAAGGCAUAAAUGCAGAUUCCUUUCACAGAUAAAGAAGUUACUCCCCAACCCCCACCAGCUUGUCAAAACUUUUUUUCAGAGAUUAAAACUUUAGUGCUAUCUUAGUGGCUUGUGUACAGUGGCAGGAUGUUCUGGGACUUCAAUACCAAUUUCUGACACUGGGUGGAUCUCUGAAGUCAGGAGAACAAGUAAAUCUUUAAUAGACACUGUUUUGGCAUGAGAAGAGUGGAUUGGGCUCCACCCUGUUUGUUAGUGUCUUGAUUUCUCCAUUUUUAAUCUGCUUCAGGACAGAAUGACUUCCUGUGGCAUUUACUGUUGUUGACUGAAAGAAUGGGAAUAAGUUAUCACAGCAAAGAAAAAAGCAGAAUACUCAGUGCAAUAGUCUUUCUGAUGAGAAACUUCAGUUGCUGAAGGGAAUCUGCAAUUCUUUGUCAUAGGACUUAAACUCAUCUUACUUUUGAAAUACUUUUUCUGCACCAGUUCUGCUGAAUCUGGACUGAAGAGAGAAAGAUAUUCUUGCAGUUGAAGUCCCUUGGGAAGGUGAGAGCUUGUGAAUGUGAGGAAGCUCCUAUCUGUCGCUGAAAAGAUGCAUCCUUCUGGUAUGUCUGAGAAUCUGUAUCCUUCCAUUCUAACACUGGUCACAGAAGCCAUCCCACCAUGUCUCCAUGGUUCCAGUAAGAGCAUGGCUCUGCAGGCACGUGCACAUCUCUAACUCCAGAUGUUUAUUCCCUGUGCUGUGUGCGUUUGCAUAAAGCCAUUUAAGGCAGAUCCCCUGAUGAAGCCAACUCAUUGGCUGGGGUGGCUGGAAUUCCUUUGUGCUGCUCUUCAGGUGCUCUCCUGCUAACCUAUUGUUGCCUAAAAUCAGAUGAAAAACUUUCCAAACAAUAUUAGAAUGAAUAACAUAAAGAACAGUCUUUUAAUGAAAGCUUUCAGGUGCACAGAUUAUCGCUAUGCACACAUGCAGCAUCAGAUUUCCACAAGUUUUAUAAGUUUAAUUACUAUAUCUAGCCAGUAUAUCCAAUGGGAGACUGGUUGCCCUGGUACCCCACCCUUGGACCUGCCCCACUGGAGUCCCUCCAAAGGGUUAUUAGCCCUGUAUUUUGUUAUGUCUCCCAGGUGCUGGUGGAAAACAAGACGUCCUUGUUGGAAAUUCUUUUACUCCAAAAUAAAACACAGCAUAAACACAUAGUUAAAAGACUCUGCACUGGCCGUGCUUUGCAUCCUAUACAUUUAGGGAAAAGGUAAGAAGAAACUCUUCUUCUAAAUAUUGGGUAGCUUAUAAUUCCAAUUUUUUAAAAUUUAAUCUUCUCAAAUUUUUCUUAUUCCAUGUAUGAAUUUGGAUGGGAAAGCGUGAGGAAAAGCUUUCAGAUCUAUAUGCCGUAAGCAACUGUUACUUGCUGGUUUUUUAAUUAUUGAGCUUAUCACUACUAUUAGGUGUAAAUAAGGAAUGGGAGAAGGGCUAUAAAUAAAAACUGAUUAUGAAAUUAAUGUAUUGCAUAUGUUAGGUAUACAUAGUGCUUUUCUGACUGAUUCAGGAUGGCUUUUUAAAUACAUUCAUUCUGUAUUCACAAUACUGUAAACAUCUAGAUGGCCAUUUAAUUUUUUUAAAAACCUAGCUUUUACUAAUUAAAAAUUAUGUUGUUGUUGCUAUUAUUAUCAUUGUUACAGGAAUUAGUGGAAAAAAAAAAGGGACAUUUAGAAAAGAGGAAUUUAAACACAAUAUAUGGGGCAGUUACAGAACUGUUGUAGACAUUACUUUCAAAACUGUAGCUACUUCUUUCAGCUUCCAAAUGUAGAAAGAAGUCUAAUUUUGUGUGCCUUUCUUUCUUGUUUUCUAAUCUACUUGUAACAUUCAAUGUGUACCAACCUACUGCAGGAAAAUUUGUUGGCAAUCAGAAACAAUGGAAGAGGUAUGUAUGAAGCCACAUUUAACAAAAGACUCAGAGCUGAAAAGGGAGUGAAAGUCAACAUUCAUGCACUGGAUGUUAGACAUUUACUGACCAGAACCACCUUUCUCACACUAGGGGUGGAGAGCUGUGCUACCUUUUGCUGUUCUUGCUCAGGUAAACUCCAGCAGCAGCAGCCCCUUUGGCUUUAAGCCAAAUGCAAGGUCUGUAGGUAACCCACUGCAAUAACCUGGUAUGUCCCUAAAUCAGUGCCAAGUGCUACUUCACAUGGGUAUGGGAUCUAUGAAGGAAGCUGAAGAGUCCUUUAGAGCUCCACAAACCUGCCCCCUCUUCACACCAGCUUGUGUGUUGCCAUUAAUCACAGUCCCACAGAUUUACAGAACCACAGAUAACAGCCAGGGCUCUAGGAUUCCUGCAGGAACAUUUGUUUCUCUGCCAGAAAUUUCAGCAUCAGUCUGUUACAGUUUAGAAAACAAAAAGUAAGCAGUUAAUUAAAUAAAACAAUUUAUUACAGUUAAGGAUAUAUUUGAAUAAUUUUAUGGGAGUUGGUUAUACCAGAACAAGCCACUGCUUGUUCUGCCACCAGUUUAAGUAGAGUUGAUCUUGUUCUGGUUGAAAAUCUCAGCUAUUUAGAUUUUGGCAGAAGAACCUAAGCAAUGUCAUGUCAGUACUAGUCUUGAAAGGUGUCCCAUUCUUAAAAAGCAGCCCCGAUACUGAAAAAUUAAGUAAAUAUUCUGUUGUGCUGCUGCUACAAAUCCAUGAGAAAAAAGCACCUGAGGUUAUUGAUGUUCCUGAGGUGACUCAUCUGUACAACUUGAAGGUUUUAGUCUACGUAAGUGCUAAAUACAUAAAUGCUUCAUCAGCAUUAUCUCUUGAGAUGCCUGAAUGCUUAUUUAUGUCAUUAUUUCUCGUUUAUUUUGAGGCUGCUGCCUCAAAACAAUGGGUUUUUGGAAAGUUGUGAAGUUUCACCUUUCUGUGCCUUGUUGACAAAGCCUCUGCUCUGUGCAGUCCGUCCCGUACCUAAUGUCAGCUUAUUUACGAGUGGAGUGUUUUGGGAGUAAUUCUGGUGUGCCCCAAGAAAAGCCACCAAGCAGGUUUGGCAUGUUUUCAUCCCAAGUCAACUUUAGGAAACGUUUCAAGUCUCUUCCUUCUGCUGUUAAUGAACUUCGAAGUGCUCUGACAAGUUUCAAAUCUCAUCCAGGUACUCAUUGGUCUCACUAAUUAUCCGCAGACUUCAUGCCUUUCACAGGCGUGUCGUUCCCGCUUUUAUUUCGCAAACUGGAUCUCCAUUGGCAGCACCCGUCGGAAGAACGCUGCCGCAUCCCGGCCGCUGCCGCAUCCCGGCCGCUGCCGCAUCCCGGCCGCUGCCGCA